rnacentral:rRNA from 1 species
UGCGUAGGCGGUUUGGUAAGUCUUGUGUGAAAUCUUCGGGCUCAACUCGAAGUCUGCACGAGAAACUGCCGGGCUUGAGUGUGGGAGAGGUGAGUGGAAUUUCCGGUGUAGCGGUGAAAUGCGUAGAUAUCGGAAGGAACACCUGUGGCGAAAGCGGCUCACUGGACCAUAACUGACGCUGAUGCACGAAAGCUAGGGGAGCAAACAGGAUUAGAUACCCUGGUAGUCCUAGCCCUAAACGAUGAUCGCUUGGUGUGACGGGUACCCAAUCCCGCCGUGCCGCAGCUAACGCGUUAAGCGAUCCGCCUGGGGAGUACGGUCGCAAGGCUGAA